GCAGCACCAGUACGAUCGAAAAUGUCAAAAGCGAAAGCGUCGUCGUUGACGUUGGUCGCCGGAGAAGCUCAUGCGGUUAAUGCAAAUCCGGUUCCAACACUAGCAUCACUCACGGUUGGAAAAACCAUCACUUGAGUAUUUACUUUCUUAGCAUUGGACGCGUGGAAAUAUUCAUAAUAAAAGUUUAGGUAAUUGCUAAUACUUUUUCAAAUCUUCCUUGAUUUUGUCAUGUAUUGAUUGUUUUAUUAGACAUGUGUUUUAGAUAUUCAAAUCGUUUUUUAGAGAUAGUUAGUAAUUGAUCCUUUGAGUACUCUAUACUUCUACGCUUAAUUUGGCGUACACAAAAGUGAGAUGAUUUAGGUAAUUCUUCGACAAGUUUGAACUUGGCGAGUAGAUUUAACAAUUUCUCUUUAGUGUAUACUUAAAUUUGCAACAAUCUAAAUAGUAAUCUGUUUCAUUUCUUUUCUUCAAAGUUUUGAACCAACAAAAAAGGCCCUUAC
rnacentral:lncRNA from 1 species